UCCACCACAUUCAGACAACGUGGCAGUCGCUGCAGGCACUGAUCAAGGAAGCAGAGACCUGCCCUGGCUGCUCUUGAGUCCCCACAUUCCUGCCCGUGAGCACCCAGGCGAGGAGUCCAGGGCCAUGCUGGCACCAGAUGUCCCCACUCUCCCCCGGGCUGGGGAACGGGUUGCAAGCUCCCCUGAGAAAUGAACAGUGCAACCUGGGCCAGCCUCUCUUCCCAGAACUGGAGGCCGCUUAAGAAAAGGGAGCUUGUAGGCUUUGUCACAAAAGCUUACACUUUUUAGCUAAAAGGAGCCCCUAGAGAUGAGCUAAUCCACUCUAUUUUAAAAUGAGACCAGAGAGGAGACAUGACAAACCGGAGAUCACACAGAGAGCAGAUGACGGAAUUCUCAGGUGUUCUCCCCCGGAAGCCUCUGAGAAACACAUUUGGCUGGCCAUACCUCCUGAGCCUUGAGUCUCCACAGAAGAGGAUAGAAUCCCCUCAGAGCUCCAUGAAAACCUGGGUUGCUUACCAGACAGAUGUAGGACUCUCAGCUACUCCUCCAGCACCACAUCUGCCUGCACACCACCAUGCUCCCCAUCAUGAUGAUGGACAGAACCUCUGAAAUGGUGGCUUCUGUCCCCACCCUGCGCUCUGGUGAUAUGAGAUCUCAAGAGCGGUUACGAGUUCAUUUCAAUCAACCAAUAGUGGACAGCAUCUGCAGUGUCCCCAGCACCAGAGCUACGAAAAUGAUGGUGACCGGCCAUGCUUUCCCCUAAGGCGCCUGUCUGCAGUGGGAAAAAAGAUCCCAAACAAGAAAGGUUAGGUUUAGUGAACCACAAGGGGAGUCUGGAGUCAUGCUCUCUCACCAAUAAAGGAAAACAAAACUUCCCAAACUGUGGGGGAACACAGGAAGAAACAGCCAGGUAAUAAAACCUGUGUCGAAGACCAGGACAUGUUCCAGGUUUUGAUCGAAGAGGAAGACGGUUGAGAGGACUGUGGAUUAAAAGCCUUAUUUGACAGUGGUCCUUAAACCAUGAUUGGAAAAAAGAUGGAAGAAGGUGACCUGGAGUCACCACAAAGUCUCUGUCUCACUGGGCGGUGGUGACACGUGCCUUUAAACCCAGGAGGUCAAGUGCAGGAGGCAGAGGCAGGCAGAUCUCUGUGAGUUCGAGGCUAGUCUGGUCUACAGAGCUAGUUCCAGGACAGGUUCCAAAGCUACACAGAGAAACCCUGUCUCGAAAAUAAAUAAACAAAAGACUCUGUCUCAAAUCGUGACAUGGAGGCAGAGAGCUCUGUGUCACACAGAGCUUAGGAGUUCUGGACCUGGUGAGGAAGGUCAAACCGAACUAUUUCAAUGUCUCUCGCGAUCCAUUUAUAAAUGUUUUUAAUUCUUCUUCA